UACGGAGGGUGCAAACGUUGCUCGGAAUCAUUGGGCGUAAAGCGCACGUAGGCGGUCCGGCAAGUCGGGUGUGAAAGCCCUCGGCUUAACCGAGGAAGUGCAUUCGAAACUACCGGACUUGAAUACUGGAGGAGGUCGCGGAAUUCCCGGUGUAGUGGUGAAAUGCGUAGAUAUCGGGAGGAACACCAGUGGCGAAGGCGACUACCUGGCCUGUUUCUUGACGCUGAGGCGCGAAAGCUAGGGGAGCAAACGGG
rnacentral:rRNA from 1 species